UACGAAGGGGGCUAGCGUUAUUCGGAAUUAUUGGGCGUAAAGGGCGCGUAGGCGGCCUUUCAAGUGACGGGUGAAAUCCCUCGGCUUAACCGAGGAACUGCCUGUCAGACUGGAAGGCUUGAGACCGGGAGAGGUGAGUGGAAUUCCCAGUGUAGCGGUGAAAUGCGUAGAUAUUGGGAGGAACACCAGUGGCGAAGGCGGCUCACUGGACCGGUACUGACGCUGAGGCGCGAAAGCGUGGGGAGCAAACAGG
rnacentral:rRNA from 1 species